GACGAACGCUGGCGGCGUGCCUAAUACAUGCAAGUCGAGCGAAGAUUUUCUGGUGCUUGCACUAGAAAAACUUAGCGGCGAACGGGUGAGUAACACGUAAAGAACCUUCCUCAUAGGCUGGGACUACGAUUGGAAACGAUAGCUCAUACUGGAUAACAGUAUUUCUCGCAGGGGAGUGAUUUAAAAGUUGGGUAUGCUAACACCAUGAGAUGGCUUUGCGGUGCAUUAGCUAGUUGGUGGGGUAAAGGUCCACCAAGGCGACGAUGGAUAGCCGACCUGAGAGCGUGAUCGGCCACACUGGGACUGAGCCACGGCCCAGACUCCUACGGGAGGCAGCAGUAGGGUAUCUUCCGCAAUGGGCGAAAGCCUGACGGAGCAACGCCGCGUGAGAGAAGAAGGAUUUCGGUUCGUAAAGCUCUGUUGUUAGGGAAGAAUGGAUAUGUAGUAACAAGACAUGUAAGAGACGGUACCUAGCCAGAAAGCCACGGCUAACUACGUG
rnacentral:rRNA from 1 species